rnacentral:rRNA from 1 species
UGCGUAGGGAGCAAGCGUUGUCCGGAAUCAUUGGGCGUAAAGCGCGCGUAGGUGGCCUCAUAAGUCCGCUGUGAAAGUCAAAGGCUCAACCUUUGAAAGCCGGUGGAUACUGUGAGGCUAGAGUACGGAAGAGGCGAGUGGAAUUCCUGGUGUAGCGGUGGAAUGCGCAGAUAUCAGGAGGAACACCAAUAGCGAAGGCAGCUCGCUGGGACGUUACUGACACUGAGGCGCGAAAGCGUGGGGAGCGAACAGG